rnacentral:miRNA from 1 species
CUGAUCUGCACAGCUCAGAGCCACUGGGAGGCAGGAGUGUCCUUGUUGUCCUGUGCCCUCCUGGCUUCUGCCUGUCCUGGGGGAGGCGCGGGAUAUUGGGCUGUGUCC